rnacentral:lncRNA from 1 species
CGAAGACCCCCGCCCCGGGAGGACGGCGGUGCGCGAGUCUCAGUCCGACCCCCCCGCCAGCCCCACCUCCACUGACACUUUACAUCACGCCGCAGGCCGAGCCAGACGGGCGAGCAAUACAAGCUGUGAAUUUAUUGUUGACACCUGCAGGACAGUGACCACCUUCGCCGUCGUCUUCGCCAUACAGAGAUGCGCUGUCAGUGAGGAUCGCAGGUAUGGGCAUCACUGCAAACAGGAA